AGCACGGCCUCUCCGAAGCCUGCCCGGCUCCUCGGGAACGUGCCUCCCGCAUGGCAGCUGCUGCCCUUCAGAGGCCG
rnacentral:pre_miRNA from 1 species